rnacentral:rRNA from 1 species
GAUGAACGCUAGCUACAGGCUUAACACAUGCAAGUCGAGGGGAAACGACAUCGAAAGCUUGCUUUUGAUGGGCGUCGACCGGCGCACGGGUGAGUAACGCGUAUCCACCCUGCCCACCACUUGGGGAUAACCUUGCGAAAGUAAGACUAAUACCCAAUGAUAUCCCACGAAGACAUCUGAAUGGGAUUAAAGAUUUAUCGGUGAUGGAUGGGGAUGCGUCUGAUUAGCUUGUUGGCGGGGUAACGGCCCACCAAGGCAACGAUCAGUAGGGGUUCUGAGAGGAAGGUCCCCCACAUUGGAACUGAGACACGGUCCAAACUCCUACGGGAGGCAGCAGUGAGGAAUAUUGGGCAAUGGGCGAGAGCCUGAACCAGCCAAGUAGCGUGCAGGAAGACGGCCCUAUGGGUUGUAAACUGCUUUUAUAAGGGAAUAAAGUGGGUCACGUGUGACUUUUUGCAUGUACCUUAUGAAUAAGGACCGGCUAAUUCCGUG